UCCCUUAGAUUUGAGGUAUACGUACCCUAGAAAGGAACAUGAAUCUAACAUUAAAACAAUAACAAUGCCUGUCGCAAAUAAGAUUUUGUUACACGGCUUUGGUUUAGCAGCAGUUUAGGAUUUAUUAAUAUUUUUGAGAUAAAUCACAAGAUUAGGUUGUAUAAUUAUUAACAGCACUUCAUCAUCAGCCAAUUUAACUGAGAGAUUCAGUGGAAUUUGUUACAAUCAAAAUAUUGACUUAGUUAAAGAUUCAGGAAUGGUAAGGGUCGCACAAAACUCACAGCAGGGUGGCACGCACAGAUGGGGGUUAAAUCAAAUCACACAUACAGCCAGGCAGACAAAUAAUCCUGAAUCAAAUUACACACACAGAGACAGACAAGUAGUUCUGAACCCAUUGCGCACACACACACAGAGGUUAACCUAUGAUUAAAAUUUCCUUUUCUGUGAGUUUCAUAAAUUGCUCACUUUUAUGUGUCGGCAUUCAUCAACAGGCAGCCGGUGAACCUAGUGAAAUCAGGCCUUUAAGUCCUCAUGAAAUCGUCGUCGGACGAACUUUCAAUCUUUGUGAAAUCUACGCUGAGAGGCGUCCCAGCUCGGGGGGAGGUACUGGCUCAUGCAGCCUGCUGCCGUCCCAGAGAGCUCAAAGGGUCUCACUUUUGGAUCGCUAUUUAUAGGACCUUGAGAUGAUUCACUUUGGAACUCAACUAAAAGUUUUGUUAAAGGAGAAUAUAAAAAGUGCACUCAUUGAAAUGAAGAUUUGAGAAAACCAGCAAGAAUCUCAGCCUCUUAUUUUGUAAAUAUACACAAAAUCUUGGCACUCGUCCAUUUUUUCUUAACUGCAGCUUAAACCAUAACUAUUGUAAUAGGCUUCAAGAAAUGCCUGCAUUGACAUUUCUGUCUCCCAGGGAGGGGGCAAUGGAUGGAAAUCAUCUUAUGCUACAUCUGAGUAAGUCACUCAAGAUUCCUUUGCCAGUCAGUGGAGAUUCAUCGCUCCCUAAAGCAGGUAUUUAAAACAGGUCUGGUGAUUCAUGCUCUAGAAGUGCCUAUGUUUCUUCUUGACUAGAAAGGGAUAGCUGAAAGGUAUAGGUGAAAUGAAGCUAUAUAUACAGUCAGGUGAGAUGGAUCCUACCACAGGGUAUUACUAUGACCUGAACUCAUUCCAGAAAAUAAAAGAGAAAUUUUACCUUCACACACAUUACCCACGCACACGCAAAAAUCUAGAAGCCAAAUUCAAUCUCUUGUUCCUUUACUGAGCCUAGCAUAUUAAAAUCCUAGUUUCAGUGAGAAUUGCUGGAAGUUUUAUCAAACCAAAGAGAAAAUGCUGAAGGCCAAAGAGGGAAAAAUACACCUUUUCAUUUUUAUUGUGCGUUUCUUCUCAAGGUAGAAAUCCUAGUUGGAGUUAAGCCUUAGCACACGAUUAGUUUUGGAGAAGACAAGGCAAAGCUUAUGCCUAAAUUGGAGCUUAUACCUAAACACUGUGAAGGAAAGCUUUUGCUUUGGAUUUAUAUAAAUUUAGAAUUCAGAGUGCUUAGAAAGAGCGUUGCUUCCAGCAGAGCAACUCUCAGGGAAGUAGCUUUUCUAUACAAGCUUAUGUCAGAAACAUAAGCAAUUUUAUAACUGAAAUAAUUAUGCAGUGAUCCUGUUUAGGCUCCAGUGUAUACCUAUGACUUGUUAAAUGGAUCACUGCUUUCUGUGUUCUUGCCAAAAUCUCUACUCCAGUUGCUUCCAAGCUCCCUCAUCUACAACUACCACAUACGCCUAAUCCUGGAAAGUUGUUCAGACCUUCCCACCAUGUUGGUGUGUCAUUGUCUUGUAGUCUGCACGGCUGUAGAGUGUCUUCUCCUGUGUAUGUUUCUCCUGUGGCAUCCUGGAACAUAUGUAAAUGUCUCUUUGUUGGCCUUGGCGUUCGGUGUACUACUCACCAACAAAUCAAUGUAACUGCCUGCUGCAGGAGGAACCUCAGAGCCUACCACAGGAGUCAUGGCAGGUCAGAUACCUCCAAAGAAGGACCCAAAUCAGGCAGGACAUUGCUUAGAGAGCUGCCUUAGCCAGCAGCAGGAAAUGGUGGCCACCACGCAGCAUCUGAAAUGAUGCACCUCCUCAGGCCUCUUCAUGAGGAAGGAGCUGUACCUGCUCAGGAUCCACCAGGCAGUGCCUGGCUUCAGCCUCUGUGCCUCAGGGCUGAUGCUCCUCUGGCAGCCUCCAGGGAUCCAAAGCCCUGUCCCUCGCUCUGAAGGAGCAGCUCUGCUCUCUGGCUAUAGGAGAACCUGGCUGGAAAUACUCAUCCCUGCACUGAAGCCAACGUAGCAAGUGCCAAGAGCCUCAGGGCUGGCCAGGCAGGAGCUGUGAGUCACAGCAAGGCUGGUGGGGUCAAUGGCCUGACAGGCCAGGACGCAGUCCCACAGGCCCUGAGCAAGAAGAGCAGAGCAGGUCCUGUGAUGGCAAACAGGGUCAACCAAGAAUGCUCCAAGGCUGCACAGCUGCACCACAUCAGCACCAGCCCUGAGCCAACUCAAAAAAACCCCUGGAGGUCAAGGAUGCGCUCAGGACCCUAACAAGGCAGUGACAAAUAAUGCACUUUUCAUCAUUGUUUCAUACAGAGGUGCAUCAAUCCUGCAACCUGCUCCAAGUACCCAUGUACCACUGCACUUGGUCCCUUCCCAGCUGCCGUUUUCACAGGGAUGCAGGGAUAGAAGCAGCCCCAGCCCAAGAGGGCCGUGGCCUCCACCUGCUCACCUUCACAUCAGAGGAGCUAGAGAGAAGGUGCUCUCUGAGGGGCAGCAAGGGUUGGGUCAGAUGUCAGCACUGCAGAGGAGAACCAAAAAAUGAGGACUAAGGAGCUAAAAUUCUUCCUGCCCCACAGCAAGUCAGUCUGGACCAUACUCUCUUAAGAUACCCUGGCCUCAGCUUGUUCCUUCAUGAUCCCAUGAAAUAUAGAAGAUGAUGUAAAAUAAGAAUUUAACAGAGAAGCACUAGCCCAGCAUGAUCCUAGUCUCAGCAAUUUAGCAGACAAAAUGCAUACAUUGGGAAGGAGUGGUAUCAUUCUUUCUCUUAAUUAAUACUUUCUCCAGGCUGCAGCUGAGUAACAAUGAAA